CCCGACGGGACAUGCAAAUGCCACGACGAGAGUCUUUCAGUUGGGACAAAAAACACUAGCUUCGGGCCAAGACGAGACAUUGCUGUCGUACCCAAUGAAUAUUCCGCAUCCGAGAGCUCAAGCGAGCGUUCAUGGGCCACAACAACUACAAUCGCAAUUCGAGUUACGUGGGACACAAACAACGCUUCGAGGUUCACCGCGUCGAGUGCCUGUAAGUAAAACGGGCAGACGUCGGGGGAAUGAUACACGAUUUGGCAGCAUAAUUCCGAAUAGAAGGCAUGCAACACAGGAAACCAAAGAAAUGGGAGUCCAAGGCAAGUUGCUCUGUACCAUUAAAUGAAUAGGAAUGCACGAUCGACCGUCA
rnacentral:misc_RNA from 1 species